UCUAGCAGGGCUCUCCUGCUAUUCAGAAAGUUACAACUGUGCCCUCUCCAGCAAAGUCUGGAUCUCAGCCAGCCCUAAGAGUGUGUCUGUGUCUUGGAGGAGCUCUUUUUGAGAUGCUGUAUCUCAGCCCUAGGGUGCAAGCCCAGAGGCAGUCUAUACCCCAACUCAACUGGCUGGUCCUCAAUGCUGCCUGCUUCCGUGCCCAACUUAGAACUACACAUCUGCUGCCUCUUGGUAACAUGUCAUUAUAAGGCUUCUUCAUCAGCCCUAACCCUGCCAACCACUCCUGCCUCACUGAAUGUGCCAACGGAUUGCUCAGCUCCAACCAAGGAAAAGAAGAAGGAAGUUGGAUACUUUAUACCCUCUACAUUGUCCAUUAGCAACACAACCUAGAGCUAGGAUGGAGAAAGAAAAUGCCAAAAUGCUAAUGAAAAAUGUUCAGAUGUAUCACAUAUUAAGCAUACAUGAUCUCAAAUAUUUUGCCUGAUUUAUGCUAUGCAUGCUAUUUUCCAUGUUGUGUAGGCUCUGAUGCUAGUCUACAUUUACAGAAAUCUCCAUCAGCUGUACAAAUGGCAAUUUAAAUACAUUUAACUAUGUGCUAAUAAUCUCAUAAUACAAUUUAUCAUGUAUGAUUGGCAGAAGAAAUUAUUUGGGGCAAAAGCUAUGAUUGUAUUGUUGUAAGUUAUUAUGAAUGCUGGGCAGUGUAGGGCAUGGCACUUGCUACCACCUCCCAGAAAUGUGUAAGGGCUGUUGAAGGUGCCUUGUUCUUCUUUCUUCUUCAAUAUAAGCAAAGCUAUUUAUAUCAUAAAGCUGAAACUUGAAAUUCCA
rnacentral:lncRNA from 1 species